rnacentral:tRNA from 1 species
UAGCUCAGUGGGUUGAGCACGGUGCUGACAACAAUUUCAACACCGAGGUCGCGGGUUCGAUUCCCGC